AGGGUUUGAUCUUGGCUCAGAACGAACGCUGGCGGCGUGGAUUAGGCAUGCAAGUCGAACGAGGAUAUAUCCUUCGGGAUAUAAGCCGAGUGGCACAAGGGUGAGCAAUGCAUAGAUUACCUACCUUUAGGAUAAGGGCAACUUUGUGAAAACGGAGCUAAUACUUAAUAAUACAAAAGAAAAUAAUUUUCUUUUGUCAAAGGGAGGGUAGCAAUACCUUUCGCCUAGAGAGGGGUUUAUGUCCUAUCAGCUUGUUGGUGGGGUAAUAGCCUACCAAGGCGAAGACGGGUAGCCGGUUUAAGAGGAUGGUCGGCCACACUGGGACUGAGACACUGCCCAGACUUCUACGGAAGGCUGCAGUCGAGAAUCUUUCGCAAUGCCCGAAAGGGUGACGAAGCGACGCCGCGUGGGUGAAGAAGGCCUUCGGGUUGUAAAGCCCUGUCAGGAGUUAUGAAAUGUAAGUGCGCUAAUAUCGUGCUUAUUUGACAAAGGCUCCAAAGGAAGCCACGGCUAACUCUGUGCCAGCAGCCGCGGUAAUACAGAGGUGGCGAGCGUUGUUCGGAAUUAUUGGGCGUAAAGAGCACGUAGGUGGGUUUGCAAGUCAGAUGUGAAAGCCUUCUGUUCAACGGAAGAAUUGCAUCUGAAACUGCUAAUCUUGAGUAUAGGAGGGGAGAAUGGAACUUCUGGUGGAGCGGUGAAAUGCGUAGAUAUCAGAAGGAACGCCGGCGGCGAAAGCGAUUCUCUGGCCUAUUACUGACACUCAGUGUGCGAAAGCUAGGGGAGCAAACGGGAUUAGAUACCCCGGUAGUCCUAGCCGUAAACGAUGGGCACUAAGUAGAGGGAAUUACCUAUAUUCUCUCUGCCGUAGCUAACGCAUUAAGUGCCCCGCCUGGGGAGUACGGCCGCAAGGCUAAAACUCAAAAGAAUUGACGGGGGCUCGCACAAGCGGUGGAGCAUGUGGCUUAAUUCGAUGCAACGCGAAAAACCUUACCGGGGCUUGACAUGAUAGAAGUAGGAACCUGAAAGGGGGACGAACGGUAUCCAGUCCGUAGCUAUUACAGGUGUUGCAUGGCUGUCGUCAGCUCGUGUCGUGAGACGUUGGGUUAA
rnacentral:rRNA from 1 species